GUGAAGAAAGGACAAGUGAAGAAUGGAAGUUGAUCCUGGAGGCAUGAAGUUAGCCCCAACGUUAGCCCCCUAACUUGGAGGCUAACGUUGG